GAGUUUGAUCAUGGCUCAGGAUGAACGCUAGCUACAGGCUUAACACACGCAAGUCGAGGGGCAGCAUUUUAGUUUGCUUGCAAACUAAAGAUGGCGACCGGCGCACGGGUGAGUAACACGUAUCCAACCUGCCGAUAACUCGGGGAUAGCCUUUCGAAAGAAAGAUUAAUAUCCGAUAGUAUAUUAAAACCGCAUGGUUUUACUAUUAAAGAAUUUCGGUUAUCGAUGGGGAUGCGUUCCAUUAGUUUGUUGGCGGGGUAACGCCCACCUAGUCUUCGAUGGAUAGGGGUUCUGAGAGGAACGGUCCCCCAAUUGGAACUGAGACACGGUCCAAACUCCUACGGG
rnacentral:rRNA from 1 species